rnacentral:rRNA from 1 species
UACGUAGGGUGCGAGCGUUAAUCGGAAUUACUGGGCGUAAAGCGUGCGUAGGCGGUUGGCAAAGUCAGCUGUGAAAGCCCCGGGCUUAACCUGGGAAUGGCGGUUGAAACUACUUUGCUGGAGUGUGGCAGAGGAAGGUGGAAUUCCACGUGUAGCGGUGAAAUGCGUAGAGAUGUGGAGGAACACCAAUGGCGAAGGCAGCCUUCUGGGCCAACACUGACGCUCAUGCACGAAAGCGUGGGGAGCAAACAGG